UAGCUUUGUCCUAAGUCAAACUUAUCUAAUUUUGACCAAAUUUACAGGAAAAAUAUAUUAACAUCUAUGGUAUCAAACAAAUGCACAACCAAUAUAUAUUACAUGGUGUAUCAAAUAAAUGUAGUUUGAUGUUGUAGAUAUUUGUACAUUCUUCUAUAAACUUGGUGAAAUCUAGAGAAGUUUGACUUAGGACAAAGUUAG
rnacentral:pre_miRNA from 1 species